UACGGGAGGCAGCAGUGGGGAAUAUUGCACAAUGGGCGCAAGCCUGAUGCAGCCAUGCCGCGUGUAUGAAGAAGGCCUUCGGGUUGUAAAGUACUUUCAGCGGGGAGGAAGGCGAUGCGGUUAAUAACCGCGUCGAUUGACGUUACCCGCAGAAGAAGCACCGGCUAACUCCGUGCCAGCAGCCGCGGUAAUACGGAGGGUGCAAGCGUUAAUCGGAAUUACUGGGCGUAAAGCGCACGCAGGCGGUCUGUUAAGUCAGAAUGUGAAAUCCCCGGGCUUAACCUGGGAACUGCAUUUUGAAACUGGCAGGCUUGAGUCUUGUAGAGGGGGUAGAAUUCCAGGUGUAGCGGUGAAAUGCGUAGAGAUCUGGAGGAAUACCGGUGGCGAAGGCGGCCCCUGGGACAAAGACUGACGCUCAGGGUGCGAAAGCGUGGGGAGCAAACAGGAUUAGAUACC
rnacentral:rRNA from 1 species